rnacentral:rRNA from 1 species
AGAACGAACGCUGGCGGCACGCCUAACACAUGCAAGUCGAGCGCCCAGCAAUGGGAGCGGCGGACGGGUGAGGAACACGUGGGAAUAUGCCUUUCGGUUCGGCACAACUGCGGGAAACUGCAGCUAAUUCCGGAUACGCCCUUACGGAGAAAGAUUUAUCGCCGAAAGAUUAGCCCGCGUCUGAUUAGCUAGUUGGUGAGGUAAUGGCUCACCAAGGCUUCGAUCAGUAGCUGGUUUGAGAGAACGACCAGCCACACUGGGACUGAGACACGGCCCAGACUCCUACGGGAGGCAGCAGUGGGAAUCUUGGACAAUGGAGGAAACUCUGAUCCAGCGAUGCCGCGUGAGUGAUGAAGGCCUUCGGGUUGUAAAACUCUUUUACCAGGGAAGAUAAUGACUGUACCUGGAGAAUAAGCUCCGGCUAACUUCGCGCCAGCAGCCGC